GAUGAACGCUAGCUACAGGCUUAACACAUGCAAGUCGAGGGACCGGCGCACGGGUGCGUCACACGUAUCCAACCUGCCCUUUACUCUGGGAUAGCCUUUCGAAAGAAAGACUAAUACCCGAUCUACAGGAUGGGGAUGCGUUCCAUUAGGUUGUUGGUGAGGUAACGGCCCACCAAGCCUGCGAUGGAUAGGGGUUCUGAGAGGAAGGUCCCCCACAUGGGAACUGAGACACGGUCCAAACUCCUACGGGAGGCAGGAGUGAGGAAUAUUGGUCAAUGGGCGUUAGCCUGAACCAGCCAAGUAGCGUGAAGGAUGAAGGCUUAUGGGUCGUAAACUUCUUUUAUAUAAGAAUAUGUAUUAUAUGAAUAAGGAUCGGCUAACUCCGUGCCAGCCGCCGCGGUAAUUC
rnacentral:rRNA from 1 species